ACACGUUAAAUCACGCUUCCUGGUAAAACCGGGCAAUUAAAAGCAGCGGCAGAUGUUGCUCGGCAACCAGUCAGUCCCGUACUUGCCAUUGAAGCACGUAAUACAGAAUUGCAGAAAAGGAUAAUUGGCACACGGUCGAAGCCGCGAUUUACGACACACGGACUGCUGCCCUUUUUUGCCAAUUUUUAAACGCUCUUGUUUAUAUUUCAAUCCCGUUCCUGUCCAAUGCAAGAUAAUGUAAGUAAAUUAUCAAACGCGAUAUCUUAUAUAACUUUGUGCGAGAAUUAUGCACUUUUUCUAUCUGAUUUAUGGAACACAAAAUGCAUACAAUUUUUUUACAUUUUUUUCAUUACUUUAUACCAUUAGUUAUUGCUCCUGCACCAAUUAAAAGUGGAUCUUACCUCGUAAUUAGAGAAAUCGCAGUUCACCGACGUUGAUAAUAGUCUGGCAGUGCAUUUAGAUCGAAAUUUCGGGUGGCCUCGAUUGUAACGCUUACGCGUGGUAUCAAAAUAACGAAGUGACACCGCGUCGCGGUCGUAUAUCGGUCGUUGAUCCCGAUCGUGCGAAUAAUGCACGAUUUUCAUUCGGCGCGGACCUUGCGUGCGCGAUUUCCACGGCUCGCAGACGACCUUCUGACGCAACCCGUUCAGAACUUAGGAGUCUGUGUUGAGAUCGCGUGCAUCCUGACGUUGACGUUACCACAUACGGUCUUUGCAAUAGUCGUUAAAACUACACAUCUAUUUUCUUGAAACACUCUGAAUUGCGCAUACGUAAUAAGCUCUCAUAGGUCUGUCGUUAAAUUUUAUAAAAAGCAAAAUCAAACUCCUGAAUACAACUUUGAUAAAAAAAUAAAAAUGAUAAUAGUCUGGCCUCGAGAUACACAAGAUGGAAAAAUGAAAGGAAAAGAGGAAGAUCGAAAUGAAAAAAGAGUACGUGAACAACACCUUGACGUCGCUAUCGGCUGUUACCGACGUAACGUCGAGUAUUUUUUUGUCUAGUCGCUGUCUGCUAGUGGCUUCGUGGCACUUAUCGAUAAAGAGACACGCUAUUAGUGUCGGCUGGUGCUAUCUACGCCGCAUCGUUACGGCACACACGCGGUCGUAUAUUUUAUUCAUUCGUCAUCGUCUGCGACGUUUUUAUUCCCACGCCCGAGACGCGGCGUUAUAUCAUGUCUGAAAUGGAUUUUCUAACGUUGCGAUUUCUCUCUUCCGUUUUCACCAUGUGAAAACGUCGGCUGAUAAAAUGAAUUCAAACGGGAAUACUGCGUUGUAUAAAUCGCGCGAUACACGUUCAAGUAAAAAUUAGUCUCAAAUAGAAAAAUCUAAAUAAGACCUUUGGAAUGAAAAUGAUGCAUAAUAAUUUUUAUUUUAAAAUUUAAGUAGUCGACGCUCAAGAUUUACGAAUUAUUAUGAAAUUGUUUAGAUUCUCUUCUCGUUAUCAAUUAAUGAACUAGGUCACAGGUAUCUAAUUAAUAUCGAUCGAAAGGGAGCAUCGCGACGACCUGACAACGAAAGACGCGCACUCGCGACCAUUUGAAUUUCAUUUUAUGGCAUUGUGAUCACCGCCGCUGCCGGCUUGUUUAUCCGUUUGCGCGCCCUUUUAAAAAUAGGCGUUCAUUCAAGGAUCCCGGCCAGACGCUGGCCAGACAUUCGACGCAUUGUAUACAGACGGGCAUUUUGCCGGGUGCAUUCUCGCCACGCCUGUGUCUUUACCGCCACGCCAAUGUACACAAACGUCUUCGAAACGGAAACAGAAACGAGGUACACGCAAUAGAGUUAAUGUCGAUGUUGGACAAACGCAUCUCGAUAAUUAGGGUCAGGCCCAAAGGUUUACGGACCUUUGAAAACUUAGUUAUGCAGUGUGACGUAUUUACUCAAUCCUGUGUACGUACGAGAAUGUUAACGGUGCUUAUUAUUUUGGGCAUCGUGACAAAUCUUCAUAAUCUCUUGAAUAAUUUAAAUCAAUAUCUGUUAUAUCAGUCCGAUAUCAAAAUUGAAAUAAUUCACAUCGAAGGAAUGACGAUAUAAAUUGAUGGUAUGCACCAUGGGUCACGAAGUAAAUUGAAUUUUUCCAUAACUCUAAUAACACGGUUGUUCCUCAUAAUUGGCCGAACUUCUACCCUGUUCCUCUGUUCCCCAAGCGACCAUCGCAAUUGGAGCCGUUAACUAAUUUAGCUAGCGUUACAUUUUCCACAUUCCCCCGACGAUCGUUUGGCUGUAGCGACGUGCUCGUGACAGUGGCUGAUAGCCCGACCCCAGAGCCCAGCCAAGAAUUCGAUUGCACCUUUGGAUCAUCCGCACGUCCGACGACGAAUCGCGCAGCAGACGUAACCGUAUUUAACAACAGAGGGGGUGCGUAUGGAGUCGUAAUAGAGAAACGAAAUUACCCUCCCGUCACACGUGUUCGAAAUUCCAAAGAUGGAGAAGUUCCGCCUACGUUCACGAGAAAUUUGUCGCGGCGGUUUAGGCGUAGACAUGCCUGAAAAGGAAGCAAAACGAAACGGAGCCGAUUCAGCGUAAAGGCACGACGAGCAUACACGAGUGAGCAUCAGAAUAGAGCCCUUUCCUAAUCGGGGGAAGGAAAUACAAGGAAAAAAAAGACAGAAAGCUACGGGUGAGACCCGUUUCAAAACGAGUUCAGUAUAUCCACCAACGGCAACGUGCACGCCGCAAGAGGUUAUUUUUGUUUAGUCUGCAGCUUCCCUCCUAAACAGCCUCUACUACACGUUCGACUUAUAGGCACACACCACCGACCGAGUUGAAUUAUUUGCCAGCUACUAAAUUGUCUAUAAGGAAAAUAUAAAUGAAUCCGAAAUAUCAUUUGACGGUUUCAUGAUAAGCGAAAACAAUUUAAUAAACAAGGUUGAACAUUUUUCAAUCAUUUCCAAGAUGUAUCGAAAUCUUGCUUGAUUCCGAUUCCUUCCAAU